CCGGCGCACGGGUGAGUAACACGUAUCCAACCUGCCGUCUACUCUUGGCCAGCCCUCUGAAAGGAAGAUUAAUCCAGGAUGGCAUCAUGAGUUCACAUGUCCGCAUGAUUAAAGGUAUUUUCCGGUAGACGAUGGGGAUGCGUUCCAUUAGAUAGUAGGCGGGGUAACGGCCCACCUAGUCAACGAUGGAUAGGGGUUCUGGGAGGAAGGUCCCCCACAUUGGAACUGAGACACGGUCCAA
rnacentral:rRNA from 1 species